rnacentral:tRNA from 1 species
CGAGGUAGCUCAGUGGUAGAGCAUGCGCUUGAAAAGCGUAGGGUCGCCGGUUCGAUCCCGGCUCUCGGC